GUUCUCAUUUUCACCAGAAAACCAAAGCUACUUCCCUCCAAAACCUCCUGGCUCUCUCUCUCUCUUUGUUCUCACGGAUUAUCUGUUUUUCUGGUACAUUUUCACCCAUUUGAAUUUUUCAAUCGAGUUUUGCGCGUAUAUGAUGAACAAAAGCUUGAAUUCGUCUAACUGUACGAUCAGUCAGCACAAAACCGUAAAAAAUUUUCAGAAAAUUUCUUGUAUGGAUUGGCAAUUUUCAAAUACCAUAAAUCACAGGGGGCAGUACAGCUAUUACAGGAAGGAUCGUCACAGUGACAAGGGGAAGGAACUGGAAGGGGAAUUCAAAAUCAUGCUCUGCCUUCCGUGGCCAAGGACGUAGCUUUGUUCAGAAGCCUCAGGCAAGGACAGAUCAGACCACAGCAAGCAAUAGCCAAUCUAGUGGGCCUUCAAAUUCAUCCAACCACAACUCUUUCCACUUGUAAAAUUUCCAGAAUGGUCCAUUCAUCUCCUCCAACUCCAUGUGCUAUGGUUCUGCCAGUGCAGCAUAUGAGUUGUGUCAACCACCAGCUGUGAAUCAUAAUGGGGUUCCUCCACCAUCUGGAACUGCAGGACACUGUUAUGCUGAAUUCAUGUGAUGAAAUCUCACAGCUUAGUCAAGGUUCACCAGAGGGUUACAAUAAUCAGAUAAAGUUCCUGGGGGUUCUGCUCAUUCUUUGACUGAUCAGCCAUCUUCAUCAAUCUUCAAAGGUGUUGCUCAGGUUUUUCUGGAAAGUUGGUGACAAUUUCAAUUAGCCUGAAGUCUCUUACGAUUUUUUUUUCCCAACUAUUGAUGGAGAGAUAUUAGUUGCUUUAUGGGGCAUUAUAGCAGUUGCUCCCUGUUCGCAUGGUCUUCUUUCUUCUCUUAUCUGCUCAAAAGUUGGUCCACAGACACUGGGAGACAAAGCCAGGGUAGAACUGUGUAUUUUUUGGCCUGAUGAUAGGUGAGGUUGAUACUUUUGCAAGAUUGGCCAGGAAGGAUUAUCUGUUAAGCAAGACAGUUUUCCCUCCUUCAUUUCUGAACUGGGAAGGCAAUGUGUUCUAAAAACCUUUCUUUGUUAAAAUCUUCCAAUACAGACUCUUUUGUAGUAGUAUGGGGCGGCUGAACAUCUAGUUAUUGCCUAUAGGCUUGGUGAAAUUCCAAGGAAGGAGGGGUUAUCUUGAGCAUAUUUUUGAACGUCACCCAGUCCCAGCUGAGCUGUGGAUCCCUCACAGGUAAAGAAAUUUGCAUGGUUAUACUUUUGGCGUUGUUGCGUUAGAACAUGGUUGUGUAUAUAUGAUGUUAAUAUUUGGCUUCUUUGCAAUAUUUUCUUGCCCAAUGAUUCAUGGGUUUUUGUUGCACUUCUUGCUUCACUUAGUUACAAAUGUAAUUUACCAUAUCAUUGUCCAAAAAUAGAAAAUAGAUGUGUGAAAA